rnacentral:rRNA from 1 species
CCGGCGCACGGGUGAGUAACACGUAUGGAACCUGCCCUAUGCAGGGGGAUAAGCGGAAGAAAUUCCGUCUAAUACCGCAUAACACCAUUUGGAGACAUCUCCAGGGGGUCAAAGGAGGCGGCUCCGGCAUAGGAUGGCCAUGCGUCGCAUUAGCUAGUCGGCGGGGUAACGGCCCACCGAGGCGACGAUGCGUAGGGGUUCUGAGAGGAAGGUCCCCCACACUGGUACUGAGACACGGACCAGACUCCUACGGAAGGCAGCAG